UACGGAGGGGGCUAGCGUUGUUCGGAAUUACUGGGCGUAAAGCGCACGUAGGCGGACUGUUAAGUCGGGGGUGAAAUCCUGGGGCUCAACCUCAGAAUUGCCUCCGAUACUGGCAGUCUCGAGUGCGGGAGAGGUGAGUGGAAUUCCCAGUGUAGAGGUGAAAUUCGUAGAUAUUGGGAAGAACACCAGUGGCGAAGGCGGCUCACUGGCCCGUAACUGACGCUGAGGUGCGAAAGCGUGGGGAGCGAACCGG
rnacentral:rRNA from 1 species